rnacentral:rRNA from 1 species
UACGAAGGGUGCAAGCGUUACUCGGAAUUACUGGGCGUAAAGCGUGCGUAGGUGGUUCGUUAAGUCUGAUGUGAAAGCCCUGGGCUCAACCUGGGAAUGGCAUUGGAUACUGGCGGACUGGAGUGCGGUAGAGGAUGGCGGAAUUCCCGGUGUAGCAGUGAAAUGCGUAGAGAUCGGGAGGAACACCGGUGGCGAAGGCGGGUCUCUGGGCAUCUCCUGACGCUGAGGCGCGAAAGCGUGGGGAGCAAACGGG